GUCUUCCUGAAAUUAGAUUCAUAUACAAGAAAACACAGAGACUUAUAUAGCCACCAGAUGGAGAAAGGGAGAGAAAGAAUUUUUUUUUCCUUCAUCUUAAUCACAGAGUAAGGAUGAAGAUCCAUCCAUGUUUGCAACAGAUGGUUUGCAUUGCAAAGAAAUUCCACAAAGAAGGAUUACAUGGCUUUGUAGAUAACACUACCACAGAAUAGGAACAAAUUAUCUCAUAGAUUUAUGCAGAACUCCCACUGCUGGCCACGACAAAGUCACAGAUCCUGCAUUUGCCUUCCAAAAAGCGUCCUCACCCCUAACCAAAGACUGUGAGUCCGCUCUGAUAGAAUGUGAUGGCUCUGGGUGAGGAAUGAAACCUCAAAUCAAGAAAUGCCAUUUAAGAUUAUUCUGUUCUCCCUCGGCCCGACAUAAACUCAGGUGAUACUUCAGGCUCUCUCUGGAGUUUUAUGCUGACCUUGGAUCACCACACGC